rnacentral:misc_RNA from 1 species
AGAUCCUCGAAGUAGUUCCGCGAGGAGUUCGGGACUUGGUCCCGGAAGGCCUUCAAGUUUGCUCGGGCUGGAAGUGGUUCUAUGAUGACAGGGCGUGGGUGGCUCUGAACCGCUGUUAUUCGAGCUUGCGUUGUACGAGAGAUUCUCGGAAACUUUUCUACGUGGACGUAGACCUUCCUCGAGAGAGAUAUCGGCAGUUCGCGGUUUCGCCAUCUCUGCCUCCAGCAUUUGCCCGUAAGGACCACGGAGAGGUCGCUAGGCGUCGCAGGUGGCUCAUCUCUUUCCUCGCUGCUCUGAGCUGACAGUUUGUUCCUGUCGGUGUCCAAGGACUCUGGCCAUUGGGUUAUGUACACGCCCUUUCUCCUUUUACUGGUAUCCCCUCGGUACCUUCUAGUUUUGCCCGAUGGCGAUGACGCUUCAGAGGGUGCCUCGCUUGCCGCCUCGCUACCUUCGCUAGCUUGACUCAGCCGUGGCUCCUCAGGUGGGGGUGUUAUUAUCACUUCGUGCGGUUCCAGUCUAUUUUCUGUAGGAAAUGAUUAACUUCGUUUCAAUCAUUAAUUCGACGGGGUAAUAGCGUUAAUGAAAGCGUUAAAUGAAUUGGUUUCUUUCAAUAUUUU